UGUCCUCAACAACAUGAUAUAGUUUCCUCUGUCUCACUGAGAAAUUUUUCUAGGUAAAUUACAUAGCCUUCCUUGCUAUAUGAUAUAAUUUAUCGUGAGUUGGUACUUUAUACAUGUAUAGGGUGUAGUGGUCCAAAAGUCAGUGGGUAUAUGUUGGCCUCAAUUGCUCCGCCGUGUUUUACAUUUGAGAACUGUAGCUUUGCAGAUGUAAUGCCAUAUAACUGUUUUUACCAUGGUAAAUGGUUCGACGAGAUUCCGUCGUCGAAAUUUAUGGUUUUGCAUAUUUGCACAGUGGAACUAUCAGGUUUAUUAAGUAUCAACGUCUUUAUCAACGCAGCUGCGCAUAAUUAUUCUACUUAGUUUAACUCUCUUUCUAUUUUAGCUGAAUUCCAUUCCCUCCCUCUUCGAGAUGAUUGCUUCCGUCAAUUGCGAAGGACUCGCUCAAGAUAGAGAGAUAAUAUUAAGACGAGCGGAUCGAUAAAUCGAAGAAUUAAUUCAUAAACUCGAUUGUGUUUCAUAUAGUUUCAUCUGCAAGAUGGUAGACUUCUUCACUUCUCAGUUCUCAAAGCUCGACGAUCUUCAUAUUAUAUUAUACUUAUAGGAUAAAGGGUCAAAUUACAGAUAGUAAUUGAGAGCGGCUUUAGAAAUCAGGGAACGUGACCUAUACAUAGCAUAGAUUAUCUCUUAAUCAGCUGAAUUCUGUUCAACGAGUACAGUAGACACAAGACAACCUCAAGAAAGCUUCUAGACUACUCCGCUUACUGUCACAACACUAUUCAACCAACGAGUUUUCGAAGAUUAUCACCCUGGGACACUCUUCUGCUUCAUUCUCAAGGCACAACACCACAACUUCAGAAGAUGCAAGGAGCGUGUUCUUAACUCUCCAAAACGAAGGAGGGGAUCUGCAAUAAACAAAGACGAUAUAUUUUUGGCCAGAAAUUUGCGGAGUUCCUUCGUCUUGAUAUCGGUCUUGGCUGCAGUUGUAUCUCUCGAAAUCAGUGACGGUUUGAGGAGACACUGCAUCUCACUGCUCGGUGGAGACACGGGGAUAUGAAGCUGUUAAUCCCUCUUAAAGUCCACUGCACGUUGUCACAGAGCCUCAGUCCGAUCAGAGCAAGCAGCAAAGAUCAAAGGAGACUUUUCCUCCAAUGUCAAACAGAUAAAUUUCGACAGAAAACUUCUAGCAGACCUCGGAUGAUUUAGGAAAGUAAACAUACUUGCAAUCUGUAAGACAAGUGACUCUACAGGAACUAGCAAGAGGCAGAGAAAGUGAAGAAGAUUCGACGACCGAAGCCUAGCAGAUAAAAUAAUAGCCGAUGAAUUUGAUACGACAUCAUAAAAUACUGGAGUCCACAAAGGAGCAUGUCCUACUUUUCAGCCGCUCCUCAAUCGACAGAUCCUCUUGAUGGCUUGCAGACAUCACGUCCUUGAGGCGGAUCUUGUAAGAGGAUCUGCCUCUAAGCAACUGUUCGGUGACACAACAUCACUUGAAGUAACCCUUUUUAAGAUCAUGAAGACCUCCUGGGAAGAUCUCAAUCUGCAGAACAUUGUCCUUCCUGAUAUCCCUACUUGCAACAGGAACGGAAGAUCUUCUAUCCUUCAUUACUCAAAUCCGUCAACUCAACAACCAGCCCAGGAGAAUAAAAGGAAUUACUAGAGCUAAACUUAUCCAUGGAGAAAGCAUAGAGAUGAAGAAAGGAUGCGUCUUCCAGAUACAAAGACCUGGAGCUGACCACCAUGUCAGAUGGAUGGCUAAGUCCAUAUACAUUAUGAAAAUGAUUCUACUUCACUAGAUACCACUUCACUGGACGAAGAAGAGAGACGUGCAGAAGAUGGCUCACGUUGUUGUCUUCGUUUACUUAAGAGCUUGGUUCAACGCUCCUUUCCUUGAAUCUGCAGCCUCCGCCGACACCCGUUUGUUACACUUACAGAGUCUUCAGAAGUACAAGAGUGUGGACAGAGUAUUAGCCAUCAUCACGACAGUCCUCAAGACAUACCUUUAGAGCGAAGAACUCUCCUUGCAGCAAGAAUAGGCCAACAAACUCUUGAAGCAAUUCAAGUUGGAACUUGAAAACUUGUGUUCGGUUGUUAAUGUUAUUGAGCUUUAUGAACGUCAAAUAAGCCUAAUUGAUGAAAAAUUAUUCUGAUAUGUUUUGGUUUUAUGACCAGGGGUUAUGACAAAUAUAUAAUAAGGAUGUUGGUCUAGUUUCUCGUACGGGUUUUCAACAUACGCUUUAGUCCUACACUCUAGUUUGGGGUUGGAUUUUAAAUAGUCACUUGAAGUACGUGUUAAAGUAUCCUACGUGUUGGUCGAGUGUUGAGUGAUUAAACAUCUUGAUCGCAUGUUUAUUGUUUACUGUUUAGUGUAGACCUUGUUCAGUAGAAACUCAGUACGGUGGUCCGCGGUAAAUUUCAUUCUUUAUUAUACGAAAAUGCAUGACCUGCAUGAGGUAUGUUACCUGGGGACCCCAGGCUAUAAUGUUCCGCCGAAUAGAGAUUCGGCGGAAUGACAGACUAAGCGCCGCCCAGUAAGAGGUAUGAUAAUACUGGGUUUCGAAAUCUUUUAAAUAUCUAUUCGAUUGAGUCUUAUUACCUGGGGACCCCGUUUUAAAUUCUCAUAAACGUAUCAAUUGAAUAUAUUUACUAAAACUCAAGUCUCAUAUUAAAGUAUUAAUAUGACAACUGUGUUUAAGAACACAAAGCCCGGGGUCCCCGGGUAAAUUUAAAGCUAGGAAUCAUUAUAUUUAUAAGUGAAUUGUGUAUUUGGUACUGGCCAUAGUACUCCCGUCAAUCUAUUUGUCAUGUCAAUAGUUUACUGUUUACGAAUGAGUCCAUCAUGUACUGUUCUCUUUGAUGUAUGUAAUCAAAUUAUUAGAUUAUUAAAGUUAACAUUUUGUGAAAUGUCAAUCACUUUAUUAUAUUUACCUCAA